AUUGAACGCUGGCGGCAUGCUUUACACAUGCAAGUCGAACGGUAACAGGCCGCAAGGUGCUGACGAGUGGCGAACGGGUGAGUAAUGCAUCGGAACGUGCCCAGUCGUUGGGGAUAACUACUCGAAAGAGUAGCUAAUACCGCAUACGAUCUAUGGAUGAAAGCGGGGGACCGUAAGGCCUCGCGCGAUUGGAGCAGCCGAUGUCAGAUUAGGUAGUUGGUGGGGUAAAGGCUCACCAAGCCAACGAUCUGUAGCUGGUCUGAGAGGACGACCAGCCACACUGGGACUGAGACACGGCCCAGACUCCUACGGGAGGCAGCAGUGGGGAAUUUUGGACAAUGGGCGCAAGCCUGAUCCAGCAAUGCCGCGUGCAGGAAGAAGGCCUUCGGGUUGUAAACUGCUUUUGUACGGAACGAAACGGCUCUGGUUAAUACCCGGGGCUAAUGACGGCACCGUAAGAAUAAGCACCGGCUAACUACGUG
rnacentral:rRNA from 1 species